UACGAAGGGGGCUAGCGUUGCUCGGAAUCACUGGGCGUAAAGGGUGCGUAGGCGGGUCUUUUAAGUCAGGGGUGAAAUCCUGGAGCCCAACUCCAGAACUGCCUUUGAUACUGAAGAUCUUGAGUUCGGGAGAGGUGAGUGGAACUGCGAGUGUAGAGGUGAAAUUCGUAGAUAUUCGCAAGAACACCAGUGGCGAAGGCGGCUCACUGGCCCGAUACUGACGCUGAGGUGCGAAAGCGUGGGGAGCAAACAGG
rnacentral:rRNA from 1 species